rnacentral:rRNA from 1 species
AGCGAACGCUGGCGGCGUGCCUAACACAUGCAAGUCGAACGUGAACGGGGGCAACCCCUAGUAAAGUGGCGUACGGGUGAGUAACGCGUAGGUAAUCUACCUGAGUGUUUCGAAUAACCUGCCGAAAGGCGGGCUAAUACGGGAUAGAGCGAGGAGAAUCGUAAGGAUUCUUUCGGGAAAGGGAGCUUGUUAAGAGCCCUCGCACUCAGAUGAGCCUGCGUCUCAUUAGCUAGUUGGGA